ensembl:lncRNA
UGUGGGGGAAGCCAUGGGUAGGCCCUGGGAGAAGUGGGGAGGGCCCUAGAGGGGUGAGGAGUGGGGAGAGCAUGUUUAGGAUGUGAAGGUGGGGGGGCUGUGGGUAAGUCCUAGGGGAGGAGUGGGGAGGGGGUAUGGGGGAAGCUAUGGGUAGGCCCUGGGGGGGGAUGUAGGGAGGAUGUGGAGGACAUAGGUGAGGUGGGGAGGGCCAUGUAUGGGGUGUGGAGGUGAGGGGAGGGCCAUGGGUAAGCCCCCAGACCUGGGUGGUAUGAGGCCCUGAGGGUUCCCAGCUGGGUGGGGGGGGGGGGGGCUCAGGACCUGUGGGGCACAGCCUGGUUUUGGAGUGGGGUGUUCCCUCCACACCACCCUAUGGAGUAGGGUUGGAUUGAGUCCCCUUUGGUGGGGGGGAGGUCACCCCCUUGACACCCCCCGAGCUGACCCCGUUGUCCUCAGGCUGCCCAUACCCCUCCAGGCAGCCCUCUUCCCUCCCCCCCCACCCCAACCACCCCUUUUUCUCUGAAGUGCCCCAAUCUCCUCAGAACUGCCCCCUCACACCAGAACUGCUCUCCACUCAGGUGCAGCUUAAGGGGAGGGCUCUGUAGGGACCCCCCCACACACACAGGCAGGGAUCAGGGCAGCUCGCCCCGCAGUGUCUGCAUGGAGCUGCGUUCCUUGUGGGUGCAAGGGAUUGGUGAGAGCAGCGAUGGGAGAAAUUCGGGUUUAAAACAAUCCAGUGCUGAACAUCAGGAGAAACAAAACCAGCCCGUGGUCCUGAAGGAGGCACGUGGGGACGUUCCCUGGGCAGGGGGUGACCUGUCUGGUACCAUGAAUGCUGACAAGAGGGGACUGCGCCGUGCUGCACGAUGCAGGCCGUGCUGAUGGCCGUGCAGCCGCUUCUCAGGGCAGCUGCUUGGAAUUCUAACGGGGAAUCGAUGCGUGUCGCCACCCAGCUCUGCUGGAAGCGCCUCCCACUUCGCUCAGAGCUCCGGCGUGUCACGUGUUGCUCUGUUCCCGUGUCAGCUCUUCAGAAAUGGGUAUUUUAGGAUUUCUCUGCAGCGCUGGGGUCGUCGCUGUUCUGGAGCGUUCCGCUGUCGGUAUCACCGUGGUGCCUGGGGAGGGAGCGGGGCUGUGGGUGCAGAGCUGAGCUGGGUGCUCCUUCCUAGCAAGGUGAAGGAGAUGCCACGAAGAGAGGGGGAUUUUCUUACCUUGUGUCCUUCUCCUGUUUUAUGGAGACUUAAACAUCUCCAGUCUUGCAGAGUUCGGAGCGCUGCGCACCUCCCUGGCACCAACCAGGGUCCUGUUAGGGUUCAGCAGCGUGAAACAAAUCGGGCUGACCCGUCCAUGAGCGAAAUGGGGGCAGAGGUUGGAGAGUUCCUUUCAUACGAGCUCGCUUCUGAAGGCUCUCUGCUAACUGAGGGUGCAGACCACCGCCUACGAGAAUGAAAAACAUUAGCAAUUAGUUCAUGUUAAUUGUCAGUAGGAAGUAAUGCCUGUAACUGUCUCACCACCGUCGCUGCUUCUGCACAGACAAGGAUUUCUGUUUGAUCUGGCGCUCCUAGCACUGUGAACAAGGUUCCUUGCUUGUUGUUGCUGUUUUCCUUCAGAACUGCUGGACAGAAAUAGGCACGUGGCUGUUGUGCUUUUCUCCCCGCCGUGCUUUGUCCCCAGC